rnacentral:rRNA from 1 species
GACGAACGCUGGCGGCGUGCUUAACACAUGCAAGUCGAACGGAAAGGCCCUGCCUUUGUGGGGUGCUCGAGUGGCGAACGGGUGAGUAACACGUGAGUAACCUGCCCUUGACUUUGGGAUAACUUCAGGAAACUGGGGCUAAUACCGGAUAGGAGCUCCUGCUGCAUGGUGGGGGUUGGAAAGUUUCGGCGGUUGGGGAUGGACUCGCGGCUUAUCAGCUUGUUGGUGGGGUAGUGGCUUACCAAGGCUUUGACGGGUAGCCGGCCUGAGAGGGUGGCCGGCCACAUUGGGACUGAGAUACGGCCCAGACUCCUACGGGAGGCAGCAGUGGGGAAUAUUGCACAAUGGGCGGAAGCCUGAUGCAGCAACGCCGCGUGCGGGAUGACGGCCUUCGGGUUGUAAACCGCUUUCGCCUGUGACGAAGCGUGAGUGACGGUAAUGGGUAAAGAAGCACCGGCUAACUACGUG